CCUACGGGAGGCAGCAGUGGGGAAUAUUGCACAAUGGGGGAAACCCUGAUGCAGCGACGCCGCGUGAGUGAAGAAGUAUUUCGGUACGUAAAGCUCUAUCAGCAGGGAAGAAAAUGACGGUACCUGACUAAGAAGCCCCGGCUAACUACGUGCCAGCAGCCGCGGUAAUACGUAGGGGGCAAGCGUUAUCCGGAUUUACUGGGUGUAAAGGGAGCGUAGACGGCAGCGCAAGUCUGGAGUGAAAUCCCAUGGCUUAACCAUGGAACUGCUUUGGAAACUGUGCAGCUAGAGUGCAGGAGAGGUAAGCGGAAUGCCUGGUGUAGCGGUGAAAUGCGUAGAUAUUAGGAGGAACACCAGUGGCGAAGGCGGCUUACUGGACUGUAACUGACGUUGAGGCUCGAAAGCGUGGGGAGCAAACAGGAUUAGAUACCCCAGUAGUC
rnacentral:rRNA from 1 species